UACGUAGGGCGCAAGCGUUAUCCGGAAUUAUUGGGCGUAAAGAGCUCGUAGGCGGUUUGUCGCGUCUGCCGUGAAAGUCCGGGGCUCAACUCCGGAUCUGCGGUGGGUACGGGCAGACUAGAGUGAUGUAGGGGAGACUGGAAUUCCUGGUGUAGUGGUGGAAUGCGUAGAUAUCGGGAGGAACACCAGUGGCGAAGGCGGUUGCCUGGAGCUUUGCUGACGCUGAUGCGCGAAAGCGUGGGGAGCGAUCCGG
rnacentral:rRNA from 1 species